rnacentral:rRNA from 1 species
GGCCGCAAGGUUAAAACUCAAAUGAAUUGACGGGGGCCCGCACAAGCGGUGGAGCAUGUGGUUUAAUUCGAUGCAACGCGAAGAACCUUACCUGGUCUUGACAUCCACAGAACUUUCCAGAGAUGGAUUGGUGCCUUCGGGAACUGUGAGACAGGUGCUGCAUGGCUGUCGUCAGCUCGUGUUGUGAAAUGUUGGGUUAAGUCCCGCAACGAGCGCAACCCUUAUCCUUUGUUGCCAGCGGUUAGGCCGGGAACUCAAAGGAGACUGCCAGUGAUAAACUGGAGGAAGGUGGGGAUGACGUCAAGUCAUCAUGGCCCUUACGACCAGGGCUACACACGUGCUACAAUGGCGCAUACAAAGAGAAGCGACCUCGC